UUUAAGGGAACAUGAAUUGAUUUGUGUUAAACACUCAAUCUAGCAGAAGAAAGAGAUAUUCAAAUACACAUCUUGAACUUCAGCAGGAUAAUUAUAAUGCUAUGCCAGAUGUGAGAAAAGAGAUGGACUGUCUCAGUCUUGGAAAUUUGAGCAAGAACUCAAAGGGGAGGAGACAUCUGACGCAAGUUGAAAAAUGGCAUUUCCUAUAA
rnacentral:lncRNA from 1 species